GCGUCGGUGGUUCAGUGGUAGAAUGCUCGCCAGACACGCGGGCGGCCCGGGUUCGAUUCCCGGCCGAUGCA
rnacentral:tRNA from 1 species